AAAAAAAAAAAAAAGAAAGUCGGAAUAGUCAGUAAAUACAGGACCCACCAUGGGGCCUCCCUCUGGAAAAUGGUGAAGGAAAUUGAAAUCAGCCAGCACACCAAGUACACUUGCUCUUUCUGUGGCAAAACCAAGAUGAAGAGACGAGCUGUGAAAAUCAGGCACUGUAAUUCCUGCAUGAAGACAGUGGCUGGCAGUGCCUGGACCUACAACACCACUUCGGCUGUCAUGGUGAAGUCUGCCAUCAGAAGACUGAAGGAAUUGAAAGACCAGUAG
rnacentral:lncRNA from 1 species